rnacentral:rRNA from 1 species
UAAUUAAAUUUGUUACAAAUAUAAUUAAAUUAUAAUGAUAAUAAAGCAUUUAUUGGCUGAGUAAUGGAGAUUGAAAUUUAAUAAAUGGAAAGAAGUACUGUAAGGGAAACAACGUAUUUAUAUUAACAUUAGCUAUAAGUUUAUGU